rnacentral:rRNA from 1 species
UGGCGGCGUGCCUAAUACAUGCAAGUCGAACGGUCUUUCUAUGGAAGCUUGCUUCCACUGAGAAGAUAGUGGCGAACGGGUGAGUAACACGUGGGUAACCUGCCCAUAAGAGGGGGAGUAACAUCCGGAAACGGGUGCUAAUACCGCAUAGUUUUCUUGAUCGCAUGAUCGGGAAAGGAAAGACGGCCUUUGUGCUGUCGCUUAUGGAUGGACCCGCGGCGUAUUAGUUAGUUGGUGAGGUAACGGCUCACCAAGACGAUGAUACGUAGCCGACCUGAGAGGGUGAUCGGCCACAUUGGGACUGAGACACGGCCCAAACUCCUACGGGAGGCAGCAGUAGGGAAUCUUCCGCAAUGGACGAAAGUCUGACGGAGCAACGCCGCGUGAGUGAAGAAAAGGUUUUCGGAUCGUAAAACUCUGUUGUCAGAGAAGAACAAGUUGGAGAGUAACUGCUCCAGCCUUGACGGUAUCUGACCAGAAAGCCACGGCUAACUACGUGCCAGCAGCCGC